CCUACGGGAGGCAGCAGUGGGGAAUUUUGGACAAUGGGCGCAAGCCUGAUCCAGCAAUGCCGCGUGAGUGAAGAAGGCCUUCGGGUUGUAAAGCUCUUUUGUCAGGGAAGAAACGGUGAGAGCUAAUAUCUCUUGCUAAUGACGGUACCUGAAGAAUAAGCACCGGCUAACUACGUGCCAGCAGCCGCGGUAAUACGUAGGGUGCAAGCGUUAAUCGGAAUUACUGGGCGUAAAGCGUGCGCAGGCGGUUUUGUAAGUUUGUCGUGAAAGCCCCGGGCUCAACCUGGGAAUUGCGAUGAAGACUGCAAGGCUUGAAUCUGGCAGAGGGGGGUAGAAUUCCACGUGUAGCAGUGAAAUGCGUAGAGAUGUGGAGGAACACCGAUGGCGAAGGCAGCCCCCUGGGUCAAGAUUGACGCUCAUGCACGAAAGCGUGGGGAGCAAACAGGAUUAGAUACCCUGGUAGUCCACGCCCUAAACGAUGUCUACUAGUUGUCGGGUUUUAAAUUAACUUGGUAACGCAGCUAACGCGUGAAGUAGACCGCCUGGGGGAGGUACGGUCGCGAGAAGUUAAAACGUUAAAGUAAAGUUAGACGGCGUGAGACGUGCCGACGGACGACGACGAGGGAGGAGG
rnacentral:rRNA from 1 species